rnacentral:piRNA from 1 species
UGAGCUAGCACUCAGCAUUAUGGUAGGUCGU